CGUAGGGUGCGAGCGUUGUCCGGAAUUAUUGGGCGUAAAGGGCUCGUAGGCGGUUUGUCACGUCGGGAGUGAAAACUCGGGGCUCAACCCCGAGCCUGCUUCCGAUACGGGCAGACUAGAGGUAUGCAGGGGAGAACGGAAUUCCUGGUGUAGCGGUGAAAUGCGCAGAUAUCAGGAGGAACACCGGUGGCGAAGGCGGUUCUCUGGGCAUUACCUGACGCUGAGGAGCGAAAGUGUGGGGAGCGAACAGGAUUAGAUACCCUGGUAGUCCACACCGUAAACGUUGGGCGCUAGGUGUGGGACUCAUUCCACGAGUUCCGUGCCGCAGCUAACGCAUUAAGCGCCCCGCCUGGGGAGUACGGCCGCAAGGCUA
rnacentral:rRNA from 1 species